rnacentral:rRNA from 1 species
GAUGAACGCUGGCGGCGUGCCUAAUACAUGCAAGUCGAGCGAACGGACGAGAAGCUUGCUUCUCUGAUGUUAGCGGCGGACGGGUGAGUAACACGUGGAUAACCUACCUAUAAGACUGGGAUAACUUCGGGAAGCCGGAGCUAAUACCGGAUAAUAUUUUGAACCGCAUGGUUCAAAAGUGAAAGACGGUCUUGCUGUCACUUAUAGAUGGAUCCGCGCUGCAUUAGCUAGUUGGUAAGGUAACGGCUUACCAAGGCAACGAUGCAUAGCCGACCUGAGAGGGUGAUCGGCCACACUGGAACUGAGACACGGUCCAGACUCCUCCGGGAGGCAGCAGUAGGGAAUCUUCCGCAAUGGGCGAAAGCCUGACGGAGCAACGCCGCGUGAGUGAUGAAGGUCUUCGGAUCGUAAAACUCUGUUAUUAGGGAAGAACAUAUGUGUAAGUAACUGUGCACAUCUUGACGGUACCUAAUCAGAAAGCCACGGCUAACUACGUG